rnacentral:rRNA from 1 species
CCCGUACACAAAAGUGCAUGUGUUGUGAACUCGAAGAGUAGGGCGGGACACGUGGUAUCCUGUCUGAAUAUGGGGGGACCAUCCUCCAAGGCUAAAUACUCCUGACUGACCGAUAGUGAACCAGUACCGUGAGGGAAAGGCGAAAAGAACCCCGGCGAGGGGAGUGAAAAAGAACCUGAAACCGUGUACGUACAAGCAGUGGGAGCCUCUUUAUGGGGUGACUGCGUACCUUUUGUAUAAUGGGUCAGCGACUUAUAUUCUGUAGCAAGGUUAACCGAAUAGGGGAGCCGAAGGGAAACCGAGUCUUAACUGGGCGUUAAGUUGCAGGGUAUAGACCCGAAACCCGGUGAUCUAGCCAUGGGCAGGUUGAAGGUUGGGUAACACUAACUGGAGGACCGAACCGACUAAUGUUGAAAAAUUAGCGGAUGACUUGUGGCUGGGGGUGAAAGGCCAAUCAAACCGGGAGAUAGCUGGUUCUCCCCGAAAGCUAUUUAGGUAGCGCCUCGUGAAUUCAUCUUCGGGGGUAGAGCACUGUUUCGGCUAGGGGGUCAUCCCGACUUACCAACCCGAUGCAAACUGCGAAUACCGAAGAAUGUUAUCACGGGAGACACACGGCGGGUGCUAACGUCCGUCGUGAAGAGGGAAACAACCCAGACCGCCAGCUAAGGUCCCAAAGUCAUGGUUAAGUGGGAAACGAUGUGGGAAGGCACAGACAGCCAGGAUGUUGGCUUAGAAGCAGCCAUCAUUUAAAGAAAGCGUAAUAGCUCACUGGUCGAGUCGGCCUGCGCGGAAGAUGUAACGGGGCUAAACCAUGCACCGAAGCUGCGGCAGCGACACUAUGUGUUGUUGGGUAGGGGAGCGUUCUGUAAGCCGUUGAAGGUGUGCUGUGAGGCAUGCUGGAGGUAUCAGAAGUGCGAAUGCUGACAUAAGUAACGAUAAUGCGGGUGAAAAACCCGCACGCCGGAAGACCAAGGGUUCCUGUCCAACGUUAAUCGGGGCAGGG